CCUACGGGAGACAGCAGUAGGGAAUCUUCCACAAUGGGCGAAAGCCUGAUGGAGCAACGCCGCGUGGGUGAAGAAGGUCUUCGGAUCGUAAAACCCUGUUGUUAGAGAAGAACGUGCGUGAGAGUAACUGUUCACGUUUCGACGGUAUCUAACCAGAAAGCCUCGGCUAACUACGUGCCAGCAGCCGCGGUAAUACGUAGGUGGCAAGCGUUAUCCGGAUUUAUUGGGCGUAAAGGGAACGCAGGCGGACUUUUAAGUCUGAUGUGAAAGCCUUCGGCUUAACCGGAGUAGUGCAUUGGAAACUGGGAGACUUGAGUGCAGAAGAGGAGAGUGGAACUCCAUGUGUAGCGGUGAAAGGCGUAGAUAUAUGGAAGAACACCAGUGGCGAAGGCGGCUCUCUGGUCUGUAACUGACGCUGAGGUUCGAAAGCGUGGGUAGCAAACAGGAUUAGAUACCCCUGUAGUC
rnacentral:rRNA from 1 species